UUCUAUGGUUCGAAAAAGAAGUCGAACUUCAACGUUUCAAUCAAAAAUUUGAUAAUCGAGAAAUUCUUCCUCCUCGAUUUACCACCGGAAGAUAUCUUGCCAAUUCUAUUCAUUCAAACAUUCUUUUACAAAGUCAAAUAAUUGACUUUGUUUAUCUAAAAUACGAUUUCAUUCAUCCUCACUUGAUUCAAGCUUUCUAUUCAAAUCUAAAGAAAGAUGAGGAAGGG
rnacentral:lncRNA from 1 species